rnacentral:ncRNA from 1 species
UGGUCCUAGCCUUGAAAUUAAUUUUUACUUAAUAUACACAUGCAAGUCUCCGCACCCCUGUGAAAACGCCCUUAAUCCCCGCUAGGGAAAAGGAGCCGGUAUCAGGCACGAAAAUCUGCCCAAAACACCUAGCUACGCCACACCCACAAGGGAACUCAGCAGUGAUUAACAUUUAAUAUAAGCGACAGCUUGAUUCAGUUAAAGUAAAAAGAGCCGGCUAAUCUGGUGCCAGCCGCCGCGGUUACACCAUGGGGCUCAAAUUAAUUUCUAUCGGCGUAAAGCGUGAUUAAAGUUUUUUAAAAAUUUGGAGUUAAAUUAAAACUAAGCUGUGACACGCUUGUGAUUAAGAAACCCGAGACGAAAGUUACCCCAAUUAUACCAACUUGAACUCACGACAGCUAGAAUACAAACUGGGAUUAGAUACCCCACUAUGCCUAGCCGUAAACUUUAAAUUACAACCACAUCGCCCGAGAACUACGAGCAAAGCUUAAAACUCAAAGGACUUGACGGUACCCCAUAUCCCCCUAGAGGAGCCUGUCCUAUAAUUGAUAACCCCCGUUUAACCUCACCAUUUUUAGCAAAUCAGUCUGUAUACCUCCGUCGUCAGCUUACCACGUGAGCGAAACUUAGUGAGCUUAAUGCUAUUACACCAAUACGUCAGGUCAAGGUGCAGCAAAUGAAAUGGAAAGAGAUGGGCUACACUUUCUAACAUAGAAUACACGAAAGACUAUUUAUGAAACCUAGUCGGAAGGCGGAUUUAGCAGUAAAAAGAAAUCAGAACACUCUUUUUAACACGGCACUGGGGUGUGUACACACCGCCCGUCACCCUCUUCACAAGCCAUAAAUAGUAUUUAACUAAUUGACGCAUCAUAGAAGAGGCAAGUCGUAACAUGGUAAGUAUACCGGAAGGUGUGCUUGGAAA